ensembl:snoRNA small nucleolar RNA, H/ACA box 20
CUUCCCAUUUAUUUGCUGCUAUAUAGUCUUUCAGUGAUAUAAGCAGUUAUACGCAUGGGAUAAAAUAAUGUUGGGCCAUUGUAAAUUGAGGUGAAGUAACCAUUUCAUCUCUUCUCCAUGGUCUAGACAUUG